rnacentral:rRNA from 1 species
GACAGAGGGUGCGAACGUUGUUCGGAAUUACUGGGCGUAAAGCGCGUGUAGGCGGCAGCGCAAGUCGGGCGUGAAAUCCCACGGCUCAACCGUGGAAGUGCACUCGAAACUGCGCAGCUAGAGUCCUGGAGAGGAAGGUGGAAUGCUUGGUGUAGAGGUGAAAUUCGUAGAUAUCAAAGCGGAACACCGGUGGCGAAGGCGACUACCUGGCCUGUUCUUGACGCUGAGGCGCGAAAGCUAGGGGAGCGAACAGG